rnacentral:rRNA from 1 species
AGAUUGAACGCUGGCGGCAUGCUUUACACAUGCAAGUCGAACGGCAGCGCGGGGCAACCUGGCGGCGAGUGGCGAACGGGUGAGUAAUAUAUCGGAACGUACCCAAGAGUGGGGGAUAACGUAGCGAAAGUUACGCUAAUACCGCAUACGAUCUAAGGAUGAAAGCAGGGGGACCGCAAGGCCUUGUGCUCCUGGAGCGGCCGAUAUCUGAUUAGCUAGUUGGUAGGGUAAAGGCCUACCAAGGCUACGAUCAGUAGCUGGUCUGAGAGGACGACCAGCCACACUGGAACUGAGACACGGUCCAGACUCCUACGGGAGGCAGCAGUGGGGAAUUUGGACAAGUGGGCGACAAGCCUGAUCCAGCAAUGCCGCGUGAGUGAAGGAAGGCCGUUCGGUUGUAAAGUCUCUUUUGUCGAGGAAGAACGGUGGGACUAAGUAUCCGU